rnacentral:rRNA from 1 species
CUGGCGGCGUGCCUAAUACAUGCAAGUCGAACGCACUCUCGUUUAGAUUGAAGGAGCUUGCUCCUGCUUGAUAAACAUUUGAGUGAGUGGCGGACGGGUGAGUAACACGUGGGUAACCUGCCCUAAAGUGGGGGAUAACAUUUGGAAACAGAUGCUAAUACCGCAUAAAACCUAACACCGCAUGGUGUAGGGUUGAAAGAUGGUUUCGGCUAUCACUUUAGGAUGGACCCGCGGUGCAUUAGUUAGUUGGUGAGGUAAAGGCUCACCAAGACCGUGAUGCAUAGCCGACCUGAGAGGGUAAUCGGCCACACUGGGACUGAGACACGGCCCAGACUCCUACGGGAGGCAGCAGUAGGGAAUCUUCCACAAUGGACGAAAGUCUGAUGGAGCAACGCCGCGUGAGUGAAGAAGGUUUUCGGAUCGUAAAACUCUGUUGUUGGAGAAGAAUGUAUCUGAUAGUAACUGAUCAGGUAGUGACGGUAUCCAACCAGAAAGCCACGGCUAACUACGUG